AGAAGGUUAGGUGGGCCGGGUGUUGGACGUCCUGGUUCAAGCGUGUAGGCGUGCCCGAUAGGCAAAUCCGUUGGGCUUAGCCGAGGCGUGAUGACGCAAGACUCUCACGAGUCCCAAGCCACUGAGACCCCGCUUCCAGGAAAAGCCUCUAAGCUUCAGUUGCAUGAAGACCGUACCGCAAACCAACACAGGUGGGCAGGAUGAAGAUUCUAAGGCGCUUAGAGAACUCAGGAGAAGGAACUCGGCAAAUUAGCACCGUAACUUCGGGAGAAGGUGCGCCCCGGUAGUGUGUAGCGGCUUGCCCGUGAAGCACGAUGGGGUUGCAGUGAAUUGGUGGCUGCGACUGUUUAAUAAAAACACAGCACUCUGCAAACACGAAAGUGGACGUAUAGGGUGUGACGCCUGCCCGGUGCCGGAAGGUUAAGUGAUGGGGUGCAAGCUCUUGAUCGAAGCCCCGGUAAACGGCGGCCGUAACAAUAACGGUCCUAAGGUAGCGAAAUUCCUUGUCGGGUAAGUUCCGACCUGCACGAAUGGCGUAACGAUGGCCACACUGUCUCCUCCUGAGACUCAGCGAAGUUGAAGUGGUUGUGAAGAUGCAAUCUACCCGCUGCUAGACGGAAAGACCCCAUGCACCUUUACUGUAGCUUUGCAUUGGACUUUGAUGAGACUUGUGUAGGAUAGGUGGGAGGCUUUGAAGGCGGGAUGCUAGUUCCGCUGGAGCCGUCCUUGAAAUACCACCCUGGUGUCAUUGAGGUUCUAACCUAGAUCCAUUAUCUGGAUCGGGGACCGUGCAUGGCAGGCAGUUUGACUGGGGCGGUCUCCUCCCAAAGGGUAACGGAGGAGUUCGAAGGUUCGCUAGGUACGGUCGGACAUCGUACUGAUAGUGCAUUGGCAAAAGCGAGCUUGACUGCGAGACGGACAUGUCGAGCAGGUGCGAAAGCAGGACAAAGUGAUCCGGUGGUUCUGUAUGGAAGGGCCAUCGCUCAACGGAUAAAAGGUACGCUGGGGAUAACAGGCUGAUGACUCCCAAGAGUUCAUAUCGACGGAGUCGUUUGGCACCUCGAUGUCGGCUCAUCACAUCCUGGGGCUGUAGCCGGUCCCAAGGGUAUGGCUGUUCGCCAUUUAAAGUGGUACGUGAGCUGGGUUUAAAACGUCGUGAGACAGUUUGGUCCCUAUCUGCAGUGGGCGUUGGAGAUUUGACGGGGGCUGCUCCUAGUACGAGAGGACCGGAGUGGACGCACCCCUGGUGUACCGGUUGUGACGCCAGUCGCAUCGCCGGGUAGCUAUGUGCGGAAGAGAUAACCGCUGAAAGCAUCUAAGCGGGAAACUUGCCUGAAGAUGAGAUCUCCCGGAGGCUUGACCUCCCUGAAGGGUCGUGGAAGACCACCACGUUGAUAGGCCGGGUGUGGAAGCGCAGUAAUGCGUUAAGCUAACCGGUACUAAUUGCCCGUGCGGCUUGAUCCG
rnacentral:rRNA from 1 species